rnacentral:rRNA from 1 species
ACACUCCUGCGGGAGGCAGCAGUGGGGAAUUUUGGACAAUGGGCGAAAGCCUGAUCCAGCAAUGCCGCGUGAGUGAAGAAGGCCUUCGGGUUGUAAAGCUCUUUUGUCAGGGAAGAAACGGUGAAAGCUAAUAUCUUUUGCUAAUGACGGUACCUGAAGAAUAAGCACCGGCUAACUACGUGCCAGCAGCCGCGGUAAUACGUAGGGUGCAAGCGUUAAUCGGAAUUACUGGGCGUAAAGCGUGCGCAGGCGGUUUUGUAAGUCUGAUGUGAAAUCCCCGGGCUCAACCUGGGAAUUGCAUUGGAGACUGCAAGGCUAGAAUCUGGCAGAGGGGGGUAGAAUUCCACGUGUAGCAGUGAAAUGCGUAGAUAUGUGGAGGAACACCGAUGGCGAAGGCAGCCCCCUGGGUCAAGAUUGACGAUCAUGCACGAAAGCGUGGGGAGCAAACAGGAUUAGAAACCCGUGUAGUCCCAUGA